rnacentral:rRNA from 1 species
AUUGAACGCUGGCGGCAGGCCUAACACAUGCAAGUCGAGCGGGCGGCGGACGGGUGAGUAAUGUCUGGGAAACUGCCUGAUGGAGGGGGAUAACUACUGGAAACGGUAGCUAAUACCGCAUACCAUCAGAUGUGCCCAGAUGGGAUUAGCUCGUAGGUGGGGUAAUGGCUCACCUAGGCGACGAUCCCUAGCUGGGCUGCGAGGAUGACCAGCCACACUGUAACUGAGACACGGUCGAGACUCCUACGGGAGGCAGGAGUGGGGAAUAUUGCACAAUGGGCGCAAGCCUGAUGCAGCCAUGCCGCGUGUAUGAAGAAGGCCUUAGGGUUGUAAAGUACUUUCAGCGGGGAGGCGUUACUCGCAGAAGAAGCACCGGCUAACUCCGUGCCAGCAGCCGCGGUAAUUC